rnacentral:tRNA from 1 species
AAUAAAAUAAUAUCUAAUCUAAAGUUUUUAAUAUAAUUAAAAAUAUCUAAUAAUGGCAAAUUA